AACUGGGAUUAGAUACCCCACUAUGCCAAGCCGUAAAACCAAUUUACACAUUAAACGCCAGGGGAUUACGAGCUGAAGCUUAAAACCCAAAGGACUUGACGGUGACCUACCCAGCUAGAGGAGCCUGUUCUAUAAUCGAUGAUCCACGUUUUACCCUACCACUUCUUGCCUCUUUUCAGCCUGUAUACCUCCGUCGUAAACUCACCGUAUGAACGCAUAACAGUGGGUUCAAUGGCCCCCCGCCAAUACGUCAGGUCAAGGUGCAGCUCAUGAAGUGGGAAGCAAUGGGCUACAAUUUCUAAAAUAGAACAUACGAAACGCUGCAUGAAACACAGUUAUGAAGGUGGAUUUAGUAGUAAAGGGGGAAUAGAGAGCCCCCUUGAAUACGGCACUGGGACACGUACACACCGCCCGUCACCCUCUGCAGUCAA
rnacentral:rRNA from 1 species